rnacentral:pre_miRNA from 1 species
CGGAGGAACAACCGCAGUGGCGGGGCCAGCUCUGCAGCCCUGGAGUCAGCUCCCGCAGUACCUCCGGAGCUCUCCGUCUGCAGGGCCUGGAGGCUCUGGGCGGGG